AUGAGGCCAGUCUUUAUCUCCUCACAGGACUGUUUGUUUAUGUGACCUGGUACUUUUAGCGUCUGGUUUUUCUGAAUUUUAGCAGAAGUUUCUGCAGUCACAAUCUCAGCUUUUCCACCAGGCCAUACUUUCCCGGCUGCUCAGAAGACAUUUCUCUGUCUCCCCUGCUCUUCCCCAUCUUGAAUGUGGAUGUCCUGGCUGGGAACUCAGCAGCCAACUCGUAAGUGUGGGUAACAAGCAGGGACAAAAGACCACCAGAGUCACAGAGACGCAGCUGCAGUGACACCAAGAUCCACUCGGCUCUCUUCUCUUCUGCGUCCUGCUCUAUGGCCUGGGAAGCUGAUCUCCAAGGAUCGCAUUCCUAGGGCUCUCUGGCCCAGGGGCUUCCCGUUGGGUUUGCCCAAUGGACAGCCAUGGCAGAAGAUCAAAGGGAAGAUGGCAGGAAGCUGUCCCCCACUCCUCGCCUGGCUGAGUUCUGGCGAUGGCUGCCAUCCAGGGUCCUGAGUCCCACCAGUUUUUACCCCUUGAAGUGAGAAAGAACACGUCUACAACCCUCCCUCAUUCCAGAGGCUGUGUUUUUGCCCUUUGGUCAUGCAGAUGGGGCUAAAGCGAAGUCACAGCGUGGGAAAAUGUCUUCUUAACAUCACACUGAUCUCCUUAAGGCAACGAGCCCCACAUGCUCUCUGAGGCCUGUGCACGUGUUCUGAGGACCCAGUUAUGUGCUGCGUGAUUCCAGAGGUGAACAGACCCUCACAGAUCACCUCUCCUCACCCUCUCAUGAGAGGGAAACUGAGGCUCAGGGGGAGAACUGGCAAAGGUUACACUUGGUGGUGGGUUUGGAAUCUGCCCUAUGGACGCCCGACUAACCAUUUCUGCCAGAUGCGCAUGGGAAGUAAAAUGGGAAGAGGUGCUCCAUAGAAGAACGGGACGUGGGUACAGUCACGUGGACCCGCGAGCCGGUCACCUGCGAGGCACCAGGGCCUACAGGAAAGGUGCCCGCUGUCGGCUUCCGCAGGGAAUUUCGUUAUCUUUGUGAGGUAGGGUGGAACUUGCAUCCUGAACAUUAAAGUUUACAUGCCAAGGAGGGCAGUGGAGUCCUUGGAACUUCCUGCCUCCCCCGAGGCUGCCUCCCCAUGCGAUUGACCUGGCCCGGCUGGGCCUGAUGCUGGGCUCAAAGAGAACACAGGUCUCACCCUCCUAUGUGGCGUGUGGUGAAGACUAAGGAGGUCCCCAGGGCCCUGAGUGUUGCCCUUGGGUGCAUUGGAGUAGAGGCCAGGGAAGUCCAUGUCCUUUCCAAGCCAGGCCUUGCUGCCGAGGUACAGCCGCAAUGUCCCCCUUCCAGCUGCAGAGCCGCUGCUUCCUCAUCUGUCAGGUGGGAACAACGACCCCCACUCUGUGCACCUCACUGGCAGUAGCGAGCACGAAGUGUGAGGGUGGACUCUGCAAGGUGGAAGCCAUGUCCCUGCAGGUUGCAUCUGUGCUGCCUGCCCUGCUGAGGGACGGGAACGGCAGCAUAGCCUUCGGUACCAUGUACCUUGUUUGUCAAGACUGGACCUGCCACGGCAUGGUGGCCCUUCUCCUGGGGAAACACACUGUGCCCUAGGAGGUGUGUGGACAAACACCUUCACAGCACUGAUGCUGAGACAGCCAGAGCCCAGAAACGCCCAGCCGCCCCCGGUAGGAAAAUGAGUAAGUAAAUUGGGGCAAUUGGAGAUUGUGAUGUCUCUCUUGCUGAAGACCACCUGGCUGGAUUUGCUGGGGUGGGACCCAGACCGGGACUUUUUCAUACACACAAAACGGGCUG